rnacentral:lncRNA from 1 species
UAACAACAUCAAAUGUCUUAUCCAAAAGAAAGGAUAAAGAUGAGUAAUUGCACAUUUGAAUUCAAAUCAAAUUUUGAAUUCAAAUGGAUACCAACUCAUCCCUUAUCCACUAAAAGCGUGAGGCGUGGCUUAAAUUAUGCAUGGAGUGAUUUCAUGAGAAAUAUUUUCUCAUGUAAUAAAUAGGACGUAAAAAAAGGGAUAAGGUGCAAAGAUUGAUUGCCCAUUCAAAUUCAAACUUUAUUUUGAAUUUGAAUGGCCAACCAAUCAUCCUUAUCCAUUCAUUUGGCACAUUAAAGUGGGGCAUGGAGAAGGGCUUGGCGUGAGAAAAAAAUUCAUGAAAAGUUCCUUCUCAUGAAUUCAAAUGGGUGCAAUGGAAGUGAGGUGGCGCAUGG